rnacentral:rRNA from 1 species
UACAGAGGUCUCAAGCGUUGUGAGGCCUCACGGGGCGUAAAGGGUGAGUCGGCGGCACCGUAAGUCAGAUGUGAAAGCCCGGGGCUCAACCCCGGAAUUGCAUCCGAUACUGCGGUGCUCGAGUGCUGGAGAGGAGUCUAGAAUUCACGGUGUAGCAGUGAAAUGCGUAGAUAUCGUGAGGAAUACCAAAGGCGUAGGCAGGACUCUGGACAGCAACUGACGCUGAGCCACGAAGGCCAGGGGAGCGAACGGG